UAUAAUGCUUACUAUUUCACAUUCAACAGCUGAUGCUAAAAUGGAUUUUCAUCCUCUGUCCUAGUGCCGGAACCCUCAGCUGCACAUGGAUUAUCCCUCAGUACAUUGCUAUGGAAGGAUCAGCUGACUCCUGUGGGAUACGCUGAAUAACAAAGGAAUACUGUAAUCACAAAGAAGAAUAUUAUGUAUCAUGUACUGAACUAUAGACCAAUCCUGCCAAUGCAAUCAUGCUGCAUAAUUUUCAUUCAGGAGAGAUGAAGAAGCUUCAAAACUGGUUACAUCUCAGGCCUGAAACUAUGAUCUAUUUUCCCAUGGAACCUGUUCAUUUUUUGACUGAAUACAGAUUAUGCACAUCCUCUGGAUACUACGGAAAUUUGCUGGAAAUACUGUGGUGUACAGCUGAGAAUUUCUUUAUGAAAAGUCAUGUUGAAAUGGGAAGAGACUGCCUUUAGUCCCCAUGCCAACCACAAUUACAUACACUAGAAUCCAGGACUUGCUUUUGAGGACACUCAGCUUUGAUCAUCUUGCAGCCAAGUGCCUCCCUGAGUGCAACCGACUUCCAACUGGUGUGUAAGUCAGCCUCACUUUGCAGUUCUCUAAAGCAGCAUGGACUGUACACAAAAUCUUC
rnacentral:lncRNA from 1 species